rnacentral:misc_RNA from 1 species
CUAAGAGCAAUCCAAAUUACAAAACAAGCAAAGAUAUCAAAGUUGUGUCGUGUCGAAUGGUGUGGCCUUCUCCUCCUCCCAGUCUUCCCUGGAAGUCGCUUUCGCUUUUUACAGUGACAGCAAUUAACAGAGAGAGAAGCUCUUAGCAAAACGGAACAAAACCAAACCAAUUAAAGAAUGCACUGCUUCUGUUUGCAGGCCCCUCAUUCUCUGUUUCUUCUCCUGCUCAAACCCCCUUAGUACCCUCUCUUCUGCACAAUUUAGCAUAACUCACUAUUUCGCUCAGUUUUUUCAAACCCAUCUUUCUUUUUCUCUUUUAUCUGAGUUUUUGAGACUCUUCUCCCAAAAGCAAAAGAAGAAACGGGAAAAGGAGAAAUACUUCAGUAGAUCCCAUUCCAACUUCUUGAUCAUUUGUUUGGUGCCAAACCCUUGUUUUCUUUAAUUGUUUUAUGCUAAGUUGUCAGCUUUAGUCACUAUUUUUCAGUAAAUUUAGCUUACUUAUCCUUUAUCAAAUUUAUGCUUAUUUCAUUCCUUUCUUUUAAAUUUAACUUAAAAUCCUCUUCAUCAAGAGGCAAAUCUUGAACCACCCUUUCUACUUUUGUUAAAUUUAUUUCCAGUUUCUUCCUCAAUUUCGAAUCUUGAAACUUGUUGCCACUCUUGAUGCAUACACAAAUGUUAAGUGCAAAGUCUUGUUUCGUUCCACUAAUAUGGUUUCUUUCUCUUCAAAUCCUCUCUGUACGUUCGUACUCAACACAACCCAUGAACUGUACGGACACCACACGCCUCUGCACAUCGUUUUUGGCCUUUAAACGCCAAGAGAACCAGACUCUAGCAGUGAUCCAAAGCAUGUUCGAUGUAUUACCCCAAGAUGUAGCCAUAGAAGGCAAUGGUCACGGAUACAUAUUCAUCAAGAAGAAUUGCUCUUGCUUAUCCACAACCAAAGUUUAUGCCUCUAACACUACAUAUACAGUGAAAUCCAGUGAAGGUCAUGUGUAUGACAUUGUGAUCGACGCUUAUGAUGGGCUUGCUUUCAUGCCUAACACUACUAGAUUAGCCAAGGUCGGUGCGGUGAUUUCGUUGAGGUUGUUUUGUGGGUGUUCAAAUGGGUUGUGGAAUUACUUGAUGAGUUAUGUGAUGGGCGAAGGAGAUACUGUGGAGUCACUUUCAAGUCGAUUUGGGGUUAGUAUGGGUAGUAUUGAGGCGGUAAAUGGGAUAGGAAAUCCCGAUAAUGUUACUGUUGGGGCUCUGUAUUAUAUUCCCUUGAAUUCAGUUCCUGGUGAGCCUUAUCCUGUGGAGAAUGACAUUCCUCCUAGUCCCACUCCAGUUCCUGAACCUUCUUUUGACAGUUACUCAGAAAAUCCACCAAAGCAGAAGGCUCAUGUACCAUAUGGAUGGAUCAUAGGGGGUCUUGGGAUUGGUCUUCCACUGAUUGUAUUUUGUAUAGUUAUUUGUGUAUGCUUGAAGUCCUCUAGCUGCUUUUCAAAAGCUCGAGGAGAUCAUGCUAAAGACCCUGAUGGCAAGAUUUCUCAUAAGUUUCAUAUUCUUCGCAAGCCAAGUUUCUGUUGUGCUUCAGGAAGGUAUAUGACUGGCAAAUCUGGAGAUUGGAAGCAAACAAAUGGAGAGUCUAGCAGCUACCACAUCACUAUACCUAAAGGUUUAAUGAAACUUGUUAGGAGAUUCUGAUAGGGCUUUAGGUCUGGGAGUUUCAGUAUUAAUCAUUGCUUUUUCAAAUUUUUGGUGUCAGUAAAAUGCUUCUUCUGCCAAUUUCAAGCUUUAGAUGUGUGAUUUUACAUUCUUAUUUACAGCUCUCGGAACUGAUAUGCUUGAUGUGGAGAAGCCUGUGGUUUUCACGUAUGAAGAAAUUAUUUUUGCAACUGAUGGAUUCUCUGAUUCAAGUCUUAUUGGGCAUGGAACAUAUGGUUCAGUAUAUUAUGGCCACCUUCAUGACCAGGAGGUUGCUGUUAAGAGAAUGACUGCUACAAAAACUAAAGAAUUUAUGGCAGAGAUGAAAGUCUUGUGCAAAGUCCACCAUACAAAUCUGGUAGAAUUAAUUGGCUAUGCAGCCAGUGAUGAUGAGCUCUUCCUAAUUUAUGAAUAUGCCCAAAAGGGUUCACUUAAAAACCAUUUGCAUGAUCCUCAGAAUAAGGGUCAUACAUCACUUUCGUGGAUCAUCAGGGUCCAGAUUGCACUUGAUGCGGCUAGAGGUCUGGAAUAUAUCCAUGAACACACUAAAACACGCUAUGUUCACCGGGAUAUCAAGACGGGCAAUGUCUUACUUGAUGGUUCAUUCAGGGCUAAGGUUUUGACAUAUCAUAUUUUAUCCUGUAAUCUAAUAUACAAUGGUUCAUCUCACAAUGUCUUUUGCAUUUAGAUUUCAGAUUUUGGAUUGUCAAAACUUGUUGGAAAAAGAGGUGACGGAGAAGCUACAACAACAAAAGUUGUUGGUACAUUUGGUUAUCUGGCUCCAGAAUAUUUGAGUGAUGGUCUUGCUACAGCGAAGAGUGAUGUGUAUGCAUUUGGUGUCGUUCUUUUUGAGAUCAUAUCUGGGAAGGAAGCCAUAAUACGAACUGAAGGUGCAGUGACAAAAAAUCCUGAAAGACGGUCACUGGCAUCCAUUAUGCUAGCAGCUCUUCGGAACUCUCCUGACUCCAUGAGCAUGUCAAGCUUGAAAGAACACAUUGAUCCUAAUAUGAUGGAUUUAUAUCCCCAUGAUUGUGUAUUCAAGGUGGCCAUGCUUGCAAAACAAUGUGUGGAUGAGGAUUCCAUCGUACGGCCUGACAUGAAGCAAGUUGUGAUUUCACUGUCACAGAUCCUUUUAUCCUCCAUUGAGUGGGAAGCAACUCUGGCAGGAAACAGCCAAGUAUUCAGCGGUCUUGUCCAAGGACGAUAGAUACUGAGCAAGCUCCUCUUCAAUCCCCACUUAUUUGAGCUCCUUCUGUUUGGCCUUAUUCCCCACUUAAGCCCUUGUAAUCUUGUGGUUACGUAUGCACAGUGGCACUCAGAUAGUGAUAUUCUCAGAUAGUGAUGUUCCAAUUAAGUGUUAAUAUAAUAUACUUGUGGUUGUCUACCUCUUUUUGUCUUCUUCCCCACUACUGAUUUUGUAUACAAUUUUUACAUGAGCAGAAAAAUUUUGAUGUAAUGUGAGAAGUAAUGAUGUAGCUAGAGAAGGGUUGUACUGCUUUGUAAGAGAGAGUUUGGUAGGGAUAAAUUUUGACAAUGGUCCCUGAAUUUAUCUAGUAUAACAUUAUAGUCCCUCAACUUAAAAAUAUAAUAUAAAACCCCUUCAACUUUCAAAUUUUGCACAGUA